rnacentral:rRNA from 1 species
UACGUAGGGCGCAAGCGUUGUCCGGAAUUAUUGGGCGUAAAGAGCUCGUAGGCGGUUUGUCGCGUCUGCUGUGAAAACGCGAGGCUUAACCUCGCGCCUGCAGUGGGUACGGGCAGACUAGAGUGCGGUAGGGGAGACUGGAAUUCCUGGUGUAGCGGUGGAAUGCGCAGAUAUCAGGAGGAACACCGGUGGCGAAGGCGGGUCUCUGGGCAUUAACUGACGCUGAGGAGCGAAAGCAUGGGGAGCGAACAGG